CGAGCACCCUUGGUCUCGAACCCUGUAAAAGAAAUCCACAACGUGGUAUGAGCUACACAGCCCAGUGAGAUUCCAAGACACUCUAACAGUUCAAAUAAAUCAAGUAAGUUGGGCAUAUCAUAUGCAUGGUUCAAGGUUACACAAUGGCAUGUUAUCAUGAGGUGAUAAUCAUUGUACGGGUAAUUUGAGACAUUUAUCAUGGUAUGAGACAUUAGCAUGUAUAGUUCACGAGUGAUUGGAGCUUAUUACAGGCAUAGCUCAGGAUUUCAUGUUGGCAUUUUAGCACGAAACAAUCAUCAUGAUACCAGGUAAACAUAUACUGUAGGAUACGGUGUUCCAGUGGAACUCUAUCGGUCAUCUGCACCUUAUGACUUCCGGAUCCCCUCAGUUUGACUGGCCAUCACCUUAUCCCUCCAGUGGUAAUACUCGAGUAUACCGAAACGGUGUCCCAAGGUUCCAACCUACCCGACCGAGCCCAGUCCUGGCUCGAGUAGGUUAGUAACGAUGAGCAGGGCCCAAUUCAGCUUAGAGCUUACAACAUGCACAAGUAAUCAAGUAAUUCGGCAAAAGGUAAAAUUCAUCAUUUGAGUAGGUCGAGUGAGGUAAAGUACACACUCGCCUAACAAUGAUGGACAACUUCAUAUAACAUGCGAUUCAUGAUAAUCAAGUGAUCAAGUAAGUUGGUGAUUACGUAAGCAGAUAAUCAAGUAAGCAAGUAGCCGAAUAGAUUAGAAAACGGUAAGUAAACAUGGUUAACGGUAAACGGUAAACGGUGGUAAUUACGGUUAAUUGGUAGACAUAUGUCAUUUUAAUAGGCCACCAUUGGCCGUUUUCACUUUUUCCACAUAAGAGUCGAGGAGAUUCACUCCAACCGACUUAUGCUGUCAUAGCAUAAUUAAUCAUUUAAACACAUCAUGUAGAUAUGCUCUCCAAGCAUUUCAUAUCUAAUAUUUCAAGUAAUCACAUAAAUAUGCUCUUUAAGCAUUUCAUAUCGAAUAGUUCAAAUAUACAUAUUUCAGGUAUUUCAUGUCGAGUAAUUCAAGUAUACCUUAUUCAGAUAUGCAUGAGUGUGGUAAAUACUUAACAUAUAGCACUUAACACUUAAUAAUCAUGGGUUAUGCAUGUCAUAGACUUAUUCCAAUUACGUAUUCCUAUAUGGAACACUCACCUACAGCAACAAGAGAGUAAUACUCAAACAAAUGUCUAGACGUCCACUUCGAGUUCCUCUUGAAGGUCCCCUUGAGCGCCUGGGCAAAUAACCAUCAACUAUUAUACACUAUCACUUAGAACCCCUACUUAUCAAAGAAGGUUAUACAAUCUAAGGGGAAUUCAUUAAUUGGGCCUUAAUUAUUAAUAAUCGAGGCUCAAGAGUAAAGUUUUAAAGUCCAAAGAGAGAGACUAAUAUUUUCCAUGAAAUCGAGUUCAAAAUGUUCAAUCGGUAUCGAGAAAAGAAGGCAAGUUUCCAAAAUCUCAUUUUCUAAGAAAUUGACAAAUUUCAGCUUUGGGUGUCAAUUUUAGAAAAAUCGUAUCUUGCACUAUGUAGGUCCAAAAUUGGAAAGCUUGAUACCGUUGGAAACUUCUUCAAAAGUGAUAAAAGUUCCUAGAAGAUACUUUUCCAUGAUUCCAAACAGAAGGUAUUCAAAAAUUGACUCAAAGUUGCUGCUUGGGACCAUUUAGACAGUUUCGGGGUUGGUUUUUGACCAUCUUUGAAAAUCCGGCAAAAUUCAUACAACACGAACUAACCUCCAAAAUUUAGAACUCAAUUAGAGCUACAAUCAAAGUUUAAAACAAAACAAACGGUACAAGAAUUGAAGUUUUGAGCGCCAAGAUAUAGUAGCUCAAAGUUGGCUAAAAAUUCCUCCUCGAUCAAGAAUUUCCAGAUUUAAACAUGAACUUUGGGACUUUGUUUGAACAUCUAAACAGACUCGAAAUGGCACCAAAUUUGGUAUGAUUAUACUACCAUAUAAGGGCUAUUCCUCUGUCAAAUUUCAUAGAAAAAUAUGCACGGAAAGUCACUUAACGAAAUCACUCAAGUUUCCAAAUUUUUAAGGCAAAGCUGCCUCGUGUAUGAAAAUUUCCUUUUCUAAACUUUUGACCAAGGGAAGAUACCUAAAACAUGUCUCGUUUAUGAUAAUCAGGUCUAGCAAGAAUUCAAAAUACAUUUGAUAGGUGAUUUACAUCAGGAAUUUCGAAAUAACAAGUCCCAAGUCAUUGUUAGUUACAAAUCUGUCCAAGUGGAAAAUUCUAUCACUGUAGCUGUUUCAAACUUUGGUCACAACUCACUCAAUUCAACUUGUAAUUGGGCGUGCUUGAUGGCGUUGGAAAGCUCUCUCAUAAAGCUGAAUUUUCUCAGAAGAAACCAGUUUCAAAUUCCAUUCACAAACAGCUCGUUUUUGAGCAUGAAGAUACAAGUCCUGUCCUGUCUCCUAGAGAGAAACGAAACAGGACAGUGAUUUUCAAUCGAAUGGUGUUGCUCACUCAAGUGGAACUAGAAUGUGAAUUUGGUACCAAUGGAAAGCUGGGAAUGUCUACUUUCAAAUGCCACCGACGGCACUCAAUUUCGACAUCGGAGUAAAGAGUUAUAGCCGAUACAAGAUGACUGCCUGGGCAAUACGGGAUUCAUUUUCCAGUUUUGCUAACUUUGGAAAUCAACUCAUUUAACCAACCAAAUCAUGUUAUUUUUCAAUGAAAUUUUGUACACACUCACAAUAACAUGUAAACAAUAUAAUCAAGUCAUUAGAACCUCAAAAUUGUGCACAAAAAUGGUCGGACAAGGCAGGGGUAAAACGGUCACUUUUGCUCCAAGCACCUCCUAUGAUUUUCUACCAACAAUACAACAUUAAUCCACUAAUUUAAGCACUAAACCACCAUUAAAUCCAUCAUCAAGCAUGAGAUCAGUCCUCAAGACAAAGGUGGGAGUUCAUAGAGCCCACCCAUUUCAUUUUACACCAUAAACAAGCUACCCAAAUGCAAAUACUACCUUAUACAUGUAAGAUGAUCUUCAUAAAGCAAGAUUUAAGUGUUGGAUUAACACCUACUUGAUUAGAGGAUGAAGGCAGAAAUUUCGGCCCCUUAGAUGCUCAAGAAAACCAUGGAUAGCAGCUCCUUUUCUUAGCUCAAUGGGAUCUCUAAAUGUUUAGUUAAGUGUAGUUCGAAUUUGGAGUGAAUUGGAAGAGGUUUGAUGAAGAUUUGAUGAAGGAAAAAUGAAGAACUUGGUCUUGUUUUUCCUUGGAGUUGCACGGCUGGAAUGAAGAAGGAAAAGAAGAGUUGCACGGCUGUUUGAGGUGAUAAAGUGGAGGGUUUUGAUCUGGUGUGAUGCACCCAUGUGAAACUAAAAUGUGUGGCUCUCAUUGAUUCAAAGGUUAACUCUUUUUCCCGCGCGUUUCGUAUUCGAUUCCUCUCGAAUUUGUUUCACUGGUGCACUAAACCUCUAAUGCACUUAUAUUCAUAUAAAUAUUAUUCACUCUCAAUCGUCCCAAAAUAAGGGUCUAAAGUUCCUAAAUUUAAAUCGCGCGUAUAAAAACGCGUAUCUCCAAUUUAAGCGCGAUAACGCGAAACUUCCGAGAAAUUCUUAUAACGAUAGUACUAAUAACUAUCACUUGAGUAUUUAAACAUUAAAAUGCCUAAUUUAGGUCCAUUGUACAUGUCUCCAAUAUUUCAAACCUAUUGUACUCUCAAUCGAUCAAGAUUUCCAAAGACGUGUUCACUAUUUUCACUAAACGAGCUUCCGAAAAUUAAUUUUUGAAACAAGUCAUUUUAAAAAUAUAAUGAAACUAUAUUUUCAUGUAAUUAGGUCUCAAGAGCUUAGAAAAUAAUAUUCGGAGUAAAAGACCAAAUAAAUAAUUAAAUAAGCUAAAAAUAGGAGAUUAAAUAAGUAAAUUUUGCGAGUCCUCACAACCUCCCCUCCUUAAAAGAAUUUCGUUCUCGAAAUUCAUACCUUCUGUAAUUUCAGACAACUCUGAACCAUGUGGUGUGUUCAUGUUAUGCGUUCUUUCAGAUGCUAUUGGUCGGUUUCUCCUUCCAUUGACUUGUCGAGGGACAGUUCCAUUUCCUUGUGGAGCAGUAGUUUCUCGUGGAUACCUCCUUGGACAGUCAUGAACUUUAUGGUUGGUACUCCCACACCCCAUACACUUUCGUCCCUUUAGCCAACAGUUUUCUUCAAUGUGAUUCGUCCUUCCACAAUAUCCACAAGUCGGACGAGGUGUUGUGACCUGACUGGCUUGCGAGGUUUUCUUUGAUCGUGUCUGUUCUACUGAAGUCCCUCGCGACAUAGUUCCUUUUGGUUCCUUUAUCAUGAGUGGUGCAGGAAAUAACAGUCCUACUCCAUCCACUUCUUUUCUAACUUUGGGUGGUGGUCCAUUUUCUCCUAGUGUACUGUCAGAUGCAUCUCUUUUCCUUGCUUGAAAAGCUCUCAGUUGAGAUUUUGUGCUUUCUACCCUUUGCGCUUUUUCGAGAGCGUCACUAAAUGUUUCAACCUGUGCUGCGGCAAGGGCAUCCUGGAUUUUCAAAUCUAAUCCUUGGAUAAACCGUCUUAUUUUCUUCCGUUCAGUAGCCACCAAUUCUGGGGCAUAUGUAGAUAACUUUGUGAAUCGAGUUUCGUACUCAGCCACACUCGAAGUUCCUUGACGAAGAUUUAUAAAAUCAUCUUCUCUCUUUUCUUGGACAAGUGGAGGAAGAAAUUUCUCAUUAAACUCUCUUACAAAGUUUAUCCAAGUCUUUGGAGUUUGAUCUCUUUCCCACUUAUUUCUUAUAACAUUCCACCAGGCUCGAGCUGCUCCUUCAAGUUGAAAUAUAGCAAAGGUGACUUGUCUUUCUUCUGUGUAAUCCAAGGCAUCGAAUAUAUUUCUUAUAUUCUCUAACCAAUUCUCAGCCACCUCUGGAUCAGGUCCUCCAGCAAACUUGGGCGGGGAAAAUUUCUGAAACCGUUCUAAAGCUCGAUCCUCCCCUAUUUCUUGGUUUCCACGUUGGUUUCCUUGUCCAACACCUUGACCUUGUUGAGCUACUAAGAGCUCUAGGAUAUCCGUCAUGCGAGUUAAAACUUGUCCUAUUUGAUCAUUUCCUCUCCCAGCACUUAGCUCGACAUUUUGGUCAAUAUCAGAUCCAUUAUCUACUCUUUCAUUUCGGGGUUGUCUAGGUUGACGUCCCUUUCGUUGUCCUCUAGUUUCCAUGUUCACAGCUAGUCUAUACACAUAUGUAUAAACCUCACACUUAGCUAAAAUUGAACUAUACUCAUAUACCAGUAGCAACAUUUAAAGAGGAUGAAGUCACUUACACAAAUAACAUUAUCACUAUGCAAGUAAACACAAACUAGAGUUCAUUAAAUCAUAACACAAAUUAUGGUCAAGUAAAGUUCAUGCCAAGUCAAAGUCAAUAACAAAAAUAAACAAAUGAUUAUCACCAGUACAUUCAUCUCCAAGGCGCAAACUCUUAGGUUCUACUCCCAUCGUCUCACUAUGAAAGAUCACAAGUAGGGAUCCACUAGAUUAAUUGAAACUAGAUGAUUCUCGUUCCCUAACAUGCUCGAUUUCAAUCCCAACACAAGGAUCUUUUGGGUUACAAUAUUUUCCAUCUUCCACUCUUAAUUAUUGUACCAUCUUAACCAAACAAUUAUUGGUUUCCUGUAACCAUUCACAUGAAAUAUCGAUUCAUUCUUAUUCCCCAAAAAUGGAGAUAUAAAGUCCUUAUGGUUGCCCUCAACUCUCAAGUACUCGGGUACAAGAAUCCGAAAUAAGGUAAUUCACAACUCGAGCCGGCCGGUCCCAAGAGUAAAUCACCACAUUCGAGAUUCCUACCCAACAUACAUAUCAAAUUCCCUCCAAUCAUCAAGAUAAAGGUUUUACAACCUAUAACAUUCAUGAUUCACAUCUUACAUUUUUAGAAGGGCACUUAAACCUUUACUCAAUCAUAUAGUAAGAACCAUAACACCACUUGGUCCUAUCUUGCUCCUUUGUAGAGACCACGUGAAUUGGCUCUAAAUUUCAUCGCUACAAGCAAUCAUUUAACUUUCAGACCAGUCCCACAGUCCGGCAUCCUAAACAUUUAAGCCUAGGAUACACUACAAAGAUUUGAAGUCUAAGCUCUGAUACCAACUGUGACGCCCCCACUUCUCCCUAAGGCGAACCAAAGGGUAUCCGCGGAACGCCUACCCAGCUCUCGCCAGGACUCACUACAAUCCAUCAUUCAAAAGCUCGAAAUACUUUAAGUAACUUCAAUACAUAAUUAAAGUACUUCAAAUAUCUCACACUUACAAUUAUGUAGCUUUCAAGCUUAAAUACAACCCAACGGAAAAGGGUACAGUAGCCAUCCGUUAUAAUAUAACUUAAAGUUUUCAAAAGAAAACAAUCUAGUACUACUCACGAGCACCCUUGGUCUCGAACCCUGUAAAAGAAAUCCACAACGUGGUAUGAGCUACACAGCCCAGUGAGAUUCCAAGACACUCUAACAGUUCAAAUAAAUCAAGUAAGUUGGGCAUAUCAUAUGCAUGGUUCAAGGUUACACAAUGGCAUGUUAUCAUGAGGUGAUAAUCAUUGUACGGGUAAUUUGAGACAUUUAUCAUGGUAUGAGACAUUAGCAUGUAUAGUUCACGAGUGAUUGGAGCUUAUUACAGGCAUAGCUCAGGAUUUCAUGUUGGCAUUUUAGCACGAAACAAUCAUCAUGAUACCAGGUAAACAUAUACUGUAGGAUACGGUGUUCCAGUGGAACUCUGUCGGUCAUCUGCACCUUAUGACUUCCGAAUCCCCUCAGUUUGACUGGCCAUCACCUUAUCCAUCCAGUGGUAAUACUCGAGUAUACCGAAACGGUGUCCCAAGGUUCCAACCUACCCGACCGAGCCCAGUCCUAGCUCGAGUAGGUUAGUAACGAUGAGCAGGGCCCAAUUCAGCUUAGAGCUUACAACAUGCACAAGUAAUCAAGUAAUUCGGCAAAAGGUAAAAUUCAUCAUUUGAGUAGGUCGAGUGAGGUAAAGUACACACUCGCCUAACAAUGAUGGACAACUUCAUAUAACAUGCGAUUCAUGAUAAUCAAGUGAUCAAGUAAGUUGGUGAUUACGUAAGCAGAUAAUCAAGUAAGCAAGUAGCCGAAUAGAUUAGAAAACGGUAAGUAAACAUGGUUAACGGUAAACGGUUAACGGUGGUAAUUACGGUUAAUUGGUAGACAUAUGUCAUUUUAAUAGGCCACCAUUGGCCGUUUUCACUUUUUCCACAUAAGAGUCGAGGAGAUUCACUCCAACCGACUUAUGCUGUCAUAGCAUAAUUAAUCAUUUAAACACAUCAUGUAGAUAUGCUCUCCAAGCAUUUCAUAUCUAAUAUUUCAAGUAAUCACAUAAAUAUGCUCUUUAAGCAUUUCAUAUCGAAUAGUUCAAAUAUACAUAUUUCAGGUAUUUCAUGUCGAGUAAUUCAAGUAUACCUUAUUCAGAUAUGCAUGAGUGUGGUAAAUACUUAACAUAUAGCACUUAACACUUAAUAAUCAUGGGUUAUGCAUGUCAUAGACUUAUUCCAAUUACGUAUUCCUAUAUGGAACACUCACCUAUAGCAACAAGAGAGUAAUACUCAAACAAAUGUCUAGACGUCCACUUCGAGUUCCUCUUGAAGGUCCCCUUGAGCGCCUGGGCAAAUAACCAU
rnacentral:lncRNA from 1 species